rnacentral:rRNA from 1 species
AACGAACGCUGGCGGCAUGCCUAACACAUGCAAGUCGAACGGGGAAAGUAGCAAUAUGAGUACUAGUGGCGCACGGGUGAGGAGCGCGUGGGUAAUCUGCCUUCGAGCGGGGGAUAACUAGUCGAAAGAUUAGCUAAUACCGCAUAAGACCACAAGAUCUGCGGAUCUAGGGGUCAAAGCAGCAAUGCACUUGAAGAUGAGCCCGCGUAAGAUUAGCUAGUUGGUGAGGUAACGGCUCACCAAGGCGAUGAUCUUUAGCUGGUCUGAGAGGAUGAUCAGCCACACUGGAACUGAGACACGGUCCAGACUCCUACGGGAGGCAGCAGUAGGGAAUAUUGCGCAAUGGGGGCAACCCUGACGCAGCGACGCCGCGUGAGUGAUGAAGGCCUUCGGGUCGUAAAGCUCUGUUAUAUGGGAAUAAGUUCUGAAUGUACCAUGUGAGAAAGGAUCGGCUAACUUCGUGCCAGCCGCCGCGGUAA